rnacentral:lncRNA from 1 species
GGGAUUUGAGAAAUUUCGGGAUUUCCCGAUUCCCGGGAUUUUAGAACCAACGUCCCGUGAAUCCCGGGAUUUCCCGACAUGAACUUAAAGCUUGAAAAGGACCUCUAAAUUUUGAAGCAAAACAAAAAAUUUCACCUCAGACUCACACUUCAUUCAUUAAAAUAAUAAAGCAUCAUAAAGUUGUAAAAGUUUGUUGUUGCGUUUCCUUUCAACAUCAGCUGUUUUUAUAAGCCUUUAGGCUGAGAAUGCCAAUCUGGAAUAACACCUAAACUUGAGUCGAAACCUUUCGGUUAUUAAACUUUAACAUGAUCCACUAAAACACCUUCAAUGAUCUUGAAACAGUUUCUUUUUCCCUUCAAAAUUGUGAAGGCUUUUCAAAUGUCUGAAGUAAAUUGUUGUAAUAUUAUUUAUUUAAUGUUAUUGAAUUGUUUUAAUAUUAUUUAUUGAAAGCCCGUAAUUAGUCAUGGUAAGCCUUGAUUUUUGUUUAGUUGCAGUUGCUCCACAAUUAUGGAUACCUAGCACAAAGAUAUGAUUCAAAAUUGGAAUUAACAGAGAAUAUCUUA